rnacentral:rRNA from 1 species
GUCUAUAGCCAUGCUACCCUGAAUAAACCCAAUCCCGUCUGAUCUCGGAAACUAAGCAAGGUCAGGCUUGGUUAGUACUUGGAUGGGAGACCACUUCGGAAGACCAGGUGUUGUAGGCG